UGGAGCUCACUAGUUUGGGAGGCAGAGCGCGGCCUUUGAGGGGUGCGCUUCCGCGGACUCUGCACCCCUAGGUCGGCACUGCUCCAGAUGGGGACUGCGCUCUGGGCUCCCGGGGGUGGCCCCCGCCUGGGCCCCGCAGCUCCCUUCACGCCCGCCUCCGCCCGGCCUUUCUCUGCUGCAGCAGUGGCUCGGGACCAAGGUCAGGCGAGGCCGGGAGGAGCGGCUGUACCCGCUGGAAUGUGCGCGGGCGUCCCCAGGGCCCGCCACUCGGGGUCCGAAGCUUUCGCUUCCAGAUGCUGUCACGGCGAGUUUGCUUAAUGCUCAAACCCGAAAAUCCCAUGAUUAAGAGAAGAGAAAGAGAUGAGAGGGAGAAUAGAGAGGGAGAGAGACUGAGAAGAAAGUUUCUUGUACGCGGCGAGGGUAAUUGAGGCGGCGGUCGCUAGACAAAUGUCCAGGGCUCCUCUGGGAUGGUGUAAACUCAUUCAGCUCCAAAUAGAACCCUGCGUUCAAGAGGAUCAUUUUUUUCUUCAACAUGAAAAGUCUUAUGGAUACACAAACUUUCACUGAAACCAGUGUCAGGUUUUCAUUGCAAGGAAGCAGCAGCAGUGUUUAAGGACUUCACUAGGGCCCCAUGUACACUCUCCUACAACUCUCAGCAGACUCUUCUUUUGUCCUUCCUGAGGUGAAAAAGAGAGGAGAGAUAUCACAGCACUGUUUCACUGCCUGUGAUACUUCCCCUUUACAUGAUGCUUUACAUAUUGUGCCUGGGGGUCUUUUCAAUGAAAAUGAAGAAACCAGGUCCUGGAAGUUACUCAGUGCCUUAAGUCCUGAGUUCCUCCACUGGCAUCACAGUAAACAACAACAACAAUAACAACAUAAAAUAAAGUCUAUUCUCUCGA